CAUUCGUCACUGAGGACACUUUUGCCUAAAAUUAACUUAAUUUGUAGAAAACAAUGGAUUCAGUUAAUAUCAUUUCAAUUUAUGGAAAAAAUUGUUAGGGUUGCCAAGUGCUUUUUAUUAAAAGUUUCUCUUUAAAGGUCUAGAUAAUUGUGAAUCAGUUGAAUGUUGGGCACCGAGGGGAAACAGUUUGUAAUAGAUGAUCUAGAUUUUUCAGUUCAGUUCCAUCAGUCACUUGUAGCUCUGCAAUUUCCAGACCAGUUUUCUCAUUUUUAAGUUCAUUACAUGCCUGUAUAUAUUUUGAAAUUAAUUUGAACCUGAGUAUUUGGCACAUGAUGGCUUAAUAAAUUUUAACUUUCAAUAA
rnacentral:lncRNA from 1 species